rnacentral:tRNA from 1 species
GGGCCGUUAGCUCAGUUGGUAGAGCACCUGACUUUUAAUCAAGUGCAGUAAAACGGCCCA